rnacentral:misc_RNA from 1 species
GACUUUAGCUUUGAGACAUUAAAAGACUAUUCAGUUUUAAUAUGUUAGUACUUGAACGCUUAUUAGUUAUUAUUAGUUUAGUUUUAUGUUAUUCGAUGUUUGAUGAAAUAAUAACAUUUAUUUGGCUUUUAUGAUUUUUUUUUAUUUUUUUUCGCCUCACCUUGCUCAGGCGUGCGCUUUCGUCUUGCACCUUGCGCCUAGACUCCAAGACCCCUUGGCGCCUUAAUAUGCCUUGAGCCUUUAAUAAUUAUG